UACGGGGGGGGCAAGCGUUGUUCGGAAUUACUGGGCGUAAAGGGCUCGUAGGCGGCCAACUAAGUCAGACGUGAAAUCCCUCGGCUUAACCGGGGAACUGCGUCUGAUACUGGAUGGCUUGAGUGUGGGAGAGGGAUGCGGAAUUCCAGGUGUAGCGGUGAAAUGCGUAGAUAUCUGGAGGAACACCGGUGGCGAAGGCGAUCACCUGGGGUUGUUCUGACGCUGAGGAGCGAAAGCUAGGGGAGCAAACGGG
rnacentral:rRNA from 1 species